rnacentral:rRNA from 1 species
AGCUCCAAUAGCGUAUAUUAAAGUUGUUGCAGUUAAAAAGCUCGUAGUUGGAUUUCGGAAUGGGUCAGUUGGUCCGCCGCAAGGUGAGUUACUGACUGAUUUGUUCUUCUUCGCAAAGACUGCGUGUGCUCUUUACUGAGUGUACGUAGGAUUUACGACGUUUACUUUGAAAAAAUUAGAGUGUUCAAAGCAGGCUAUCGCUUGAAUACAUGAGCAUGGAAUAAUGGAAUAGGACAUUGGUUCUAUUUUGUUGGUUUCUAGGACCGAAGUAAUGAUUAAGAGGGACAAUUGGGAGCAUCUGUAUUUCGUUGUCAGAGGUGAAAUUCUUGGAUUUACGAAAGACGAACAACUGCGAAAGCACUUGCCAAGAGUGUUUUCA